rnacentral:rRNA from 1 species
GAUGAACGCUGGCGGCGUGCUUAACACAUGCAAGUCGAACGAAGCACUUUAACCUGAUUCUUCGGAUGAAGGUUUUUGUGACUGAGUGGCGGACGGGUGAGUAACGCGUGGGUAACCUGCCUCAUACAGGGGGAUAACAGUUAGAAAUGACUGCUAAUAUCGCAUAAGACCACAGAGCCGCAUGGCUCGGUGGGAAAAACUCCGGUGGUAUGAGAUGGACCCGCGUCUGAUUAGGUAGUUGGUGGGGUAACGGCCUACCAAGCCAACGAUCAGUAGCCGACCUGAGAGGGUGACCGGCCACAUUGGGACUGAGACACGGCCCAAACUCCUACGGGAGGCAGCAGUGGGGAAUAUUGCACAAUGGGGGAAACCCUGAUGCAGCGACGCCGCGUGAGCGAAGAAGUAUUUCGGUAUGUAAAGCUCUAUCAGCAGGGAAGAAAAUGACGGUACCUGACUAAGAAGCACCGGCUAAAUACGUG